rnacentral:rRNA from 1 species
UACGAAGGGGGCUAGCGUUGCUCGGAAUCACUGGGCGUAAAGCGCACGUAGGCGGAUCUUUAAGUCAGGGGUGAAAUCCUGGAGCUCAACUCCAGAACUGCCUUUGAUACUGAGGAUCUUGAGUCCGGGAGAGGUGAGUGGAACUCCGAGUGUAGAGGUGAAAUUCGUAGAUAUUCGGAAGAACACCAGUGGCGAAGGCGGAUCUCUGGGCCAUUACUGACGCUGAGGAGCGAAAGCGUGGGGAGCGAACAGG